GUCCUGGGCCAUGGGUGAAUCCUUUGAACUUAAUGCAGAGAAUGUCUUGUUCUCUUUGGUUUCCAGCAAGAUGCAUCAAACCUUACCAUAGCAUGGCUAGGACCCAACCCGGUACCAGAAAUAAAGAAAAUGGCCCUGCAGGACCCACAGCCCUGGACAAUGUGGCUUCCUCAGAUGACACAGGCCGACACAGGCCCCAGACGUAAUGCUGAAGAAGACAAGUCAGAAGACUGAGCGAAUCCUGCCCCGGACACAGACACCAUUCACUCCAGAUAAUUUGUUCCUUGCUAUGCUUUAUUAACCUUUUUUAAUUCUCUCACUCUGCCUGCAACCAGUACCUGCUACACUCUAUUGGGUCCAUCUUCUAAAUCUGCCUUUCUUCCACCCUGUUACCUGGGCAGACACCCACUUCCCAGCCUCUAGUAAUGUAACUGCUUGGCUGGAAGGGGUUAACAUACCCCCAGUGGGGUUCCUUAGUAACGACACACAUUGAACUGAGGUGCCAAGUAACACUACAUGUUACUCCUUCAUUGGAAAAGAAUGUUGCUGAUUAUACUCAUGUAUGUCUUGUUUACUAAUUCUAGGAUGCAAAGCCAGAAGACAAGCAGUGACCACUAUGCCUAAUAAGCCUGUUGCUGCACACAUCUGUACUCUUCAUUCAACAAAACAUGAUGCAAAAAACAGGAAAAGGGGCAGACGUAGGAGAUUGGUCAGGGUGGUGGGAAAAGUUAUAAAAAUUACAGGAGAACCACAAACUUUCUUGGAAGGCUGGGAGGUUUUGCAAAAGCUUCUAAAGAAAAUUUGGCUGAAGGCAGCUUAAUUCUCUCAGGGUAGAUAACAAGAAAGUAUAAGAGAAUUGAUCUAGAUAAUUAGUUUACUUAGGUCUUGGAACCUGGCCUUUAAUCAUCUGCAGGCAGGACUGCUCUCUCAGUGGGGAGGGGGUGACCAUGUUAAUUACCCACAAGUUGUGUUGACUCAAAGCCUUUGUUAUUAAAUCUGUACUAAAUAAAUGCCCGCAGCGCAGGCUUGUUGGGACUACGACUAUAUACAGCACCUUCCUCGGUGUCUAUGAGCAGCCCGGUCCCCUAGCCGCAGGCCCAAUCAAAAAACCUGUGUCUACGUACAUUUUUUUCAUUUGUCACUUGGCCAGGGUCUGUGGGUCAAACCCGGCAUAUCUUGACUGUAGCACUAUCAAUGUCCUGGCUAGGAUGUGGUACUAUAGUUUUGUAAGGUGUCACCACUGGGAAAGUGAUACAUGGAAUCUCUAAUUCUUGUUUUGAAACAUUUAUUGUAUAAUAUAAUUCACACACCAUGUAAUUCACUCAUUUAAAGUGUACACUGCCAUGAUUUUUAGUAUGUUCACAGAUAUGUACAAUUAUCACCACAAUCAAUUUUGGAAUUUUUUUAUCACCACAAAAUGAAACCUUGUACACUUUAGCUAUCAUCCUCCUAUCCUCAUGUAACCCUCCACAACUGUAAGCAACCACUAAUCUCUUUUCUGUCUAUGUAGAUUUCCCUCUUCUGGAUGCUUAAUAUGAAUGGAAUCAUAUAAUAUGUGGUAUUUGUGACUGGUUUAUUUCACUUACCAUGUUUUGAUGGUUCAUCCAUGUUGUAGUAUGCAUCAAGCAUUUUAUUCCUUUUUAUGGCUGAAUAAUACUCUAUUAUGUAUGAACAUACCACAUUUUAUUUACCUAUUCAUCAGUUAAUGAACAUUUGAGUUGUUUCCACCUACUGGCUAUUAUGAAUAAUGCUGUGAUAAACAUUCACAGACAAAUUUUUGAGUGAACAUGUUUGCACUUCUCUUGAGUAUGUAUCUAGGAGUGGAAUUGCUGGGUCAUAUGGUAACUCUAUGUUUAAUCAUUUGAGGAACUGCCAAAUGGCAUUCCACAAUGGCUGCAUCCUUUUAUAUUACCACCAUCAGUGUUUUAGGUUUAGUAUUUCUCCACAUUCUUGUGAACUCCAGUUAUUACCUGAUUUUUAAAUUCUAGCUAUCCUUGUGCUUGUGAAGUGGUAUUUCAUCAUGGUUUUGAUUUGCAUUUACCUGAUGAUGAAUGAUAUUUAACAUAUUUCCAUGUGCUUAUUGGCUGUUUAUAUAUCUUUCGUGCAGAAAUAUCUAUUCAGAUCAUUUGCCCAUUUUUAAAUUGGGUUGUCUUUUUAUUAUUGAGUUGUAAGGGUUCUUUAUAUUCUGGAUACAAGUCUUUUACCACAUAUAUAAUUUGUAAAUAUUUUCUCCAUUGUCUUCUCUUUAUCAAUGGUAUCCUUUGAAGCAAAGAAGUUUUUUUUUCUUUAUUUUUUGUUUUGUUUUGUUUUUGAGACAGGGUCUCACUCUGUCACCCAGGCUGGAGUGCGGUGGCAUGAUCAUAGCUCACUCCAGCUUUGACCUCCCCAGGCUCAGGUGAUCCUCCCACCUCAGCUUCCUGAGUAGGUGGGACUACAGGUGUGCACCACCAUGCCUGGCUAAUUUUUGUAUUUUUUGUAGAGACAGGAUUUCACCAUGUUGCCCAGGCUGGUCUCAAAUCCUGGGCUCAAGCAAUCUGCCUGUGUUGGCCUCCCAAAGUUGUGGGAUUACAGGCAUGAGCCACUGUGCCUGGUUAGCACAGAAGUUUUACAUCUUGAUGAAGUGCAAUUUAUUUUUUAUUUUGUUGCUUGUGCUUUUGGUGUCCUAUCUAAAAAUUAUUUCCCAAAUUCAGUGUCAUGAAGAUAUACCUCUAUGUUUUCUCCAAAGAGUUUUAUAGUUUUCACCUCUUACAUUUAGGUCCUUGAGCCAUUUUGAGAUAAUUUUUUUUUUUUUUUUUUUUUUUUUGCGAUGGCAUCUUGCUCUGUUGCCAGGCUGGAGGGCAGUGGCGCGAUCUCGGCUCACUGCAACCUCCGACUCCUUGGUUCAAGUGAUUCUCCUGCCUCAGCCUCCCAAGUAGCUGGGAUUACAGGCAUGCACCACCAUGCCCAGCUAAUUUUUGUAUUUUUAGUAGAGAUGGGGUUUCACUAUGUUGGCCAGGAUGGUCUCGAUCUCCUGACCUUGUGAUCCAUCUGCCUUGGCCUCCCAAAGUGCUGGGAUGAGACAGUUUUGUAUAUGGUGUGAGCUAAGUUCCAGCUUCAUUCAUUUGUAUGUGGCUGUCCAGUUUUCCCAGCACCAUUUGUUGAAAAGACUAUUCUUUCCCAUUGGACAGUCUUGGCACCCUUGCUAAAAAUGAGUUGACCGUGGAUGUAUGGAUUUAUAUCUGGACUCUCAGUUGUAUUACAUUGAUGUGUAUGUCUGUCCUUGUGCCAGUACGACACUGUUUUGAUUGCCAUUGCUUUGUAGUAAGUUUUAAAACUGGUGAGUCCUCCUACUUGAUCUUUUACAAGAUUGUCUUGGCUAUUCUGGGUCCCCUUCAGUUCCAUAUGAAUUUUAGAACCCGUUUGUCAAUAUCUACAAAGAAGUUAUUCUGAUAGGGAUUUGGAUAGGGAUGACAUUGAAUUUGUAGAUCAAGGUGGAGAAUUUUGUCAUAUAAUGAUGUUAAAUCCUCUGACACAUGAACAUGGGAUAUUUUUCCAGUUAUUUAGAUCUUUAAUUUCUUUCAACAAUAUUUUGUAGUUUUUCAGAGUAUAAAUUUAGUAAUUCUUUUCUUAAAUUUAUUUUGAUGCUAUUAUAAAUGGAAUUCUUAAUUUCAUUUCUGGAUUAUUCAUUGUGACUGUAUAGAAAUACAUUUGAUUUUCAUAUAUUAGUUUUUUUGUUUGUUUGACACAUUGUCUCACACUGUCGCCCAGGCUGGAGUGCAGUGGCAUGAUCUUGGUUCACUGCAACCUCUGCCUCCAGGGUUCAAGCAAUUCUCUUGCCUCAGCCACCCGAGUAGCUGGGGUUACAGGCACGUGCCACCAGGCCUGGCUAAUUUUUGUAUUUUUAGUAGAGAUGGGGUUUCGCCAUGUUGGCCAGGCUGGUCUUGAACUCUUGAUCUCAAGUGAUCUGCCUGCCUUGGCCUCCCAAAGUGCUGGUAUUACAGGCAUGAGCCACUACGCCAGGCCAAUUUUCAUAUAUUAGUCUUGCAUCCUGCAGCCUUGUGAAGCUUGUUUUUGGGUCUUAGUUUUUUUUUUUUUUUUUUUUUUUUAGUUAAUUCCCUGGGAUUUUCUAUAUACAAUAUUAUGUCAUGUAUGAAUAGUUUUACUUUUUCCUUUUCAAUAUGGAUGCCUUUUGUAUCUUUUUGUUUGUUUGUUUGUUUUUGAGAUGGAGUCUCACUCUUGUUGCCAGGCUGGAGUGCAAUGGCAUGAUCUCAGCUCACUGCAACCUCCGCGUCUCCCAGGUUCAAGCGAUUCUCCUGCCUUAGCCUCCCAAGUAGCUGGGAUUACAGGCGCCCACCACCAUGUCCGGCUAAUUUUUUUGUAUUUUUAGUAGAGACGGGGUUUUACCAUGUUGGUCAGGCUGCUCUCAAAUUCCUGACCUCAGAUGAUCUGUCCACCUUGACCUCCCAAAAUGCUGGGAUUACAGGCAUGAGCCACCACGCCUGGCUGCCUUUCAUAUCUUUUUAUUGCCUAAUUGCCCUGGCUAGAACCUCCAAUUCAUUGUUGAAUAGAAGCCUCAAAGAGGACAUCCUUGCCUUGUUCCUGAUCCUAGGGGGAAAGCAUUUAGUCUUUAAAUAUGAUGGUAGCUUUGGGUUUUUCAUAGAUGUCCUUUAUCAGGUUGAGGAAGUUUCCUUCUCUUCUUAGUUUAUUGACUGUUUUUAUCACAAAAUGGUGUUGGAGUUUGUCAAAUACUUUAUCUGCAUCUAUUAAGAUGAUCAUGCAAUUUUAAUUUGUUAUUGAUAGAAUAGAAUGUAUUACAUUAAUAGAUUUUUGUAUGCUAAACCAGCCUUGCAUUCCUGGGAGAAGUUUCACUUGGUCAUGGUGUAUAAUGCUUUGUAUAUAUUGCUGAAUUUGGUUUUGUAGUAUUUUGCUGAGGAUUUUCAUGUCUAUAUUUAGAAGAGAUAUUGGUCUGUAAUUUUCUUUUUUUGUGGUAUCCUUCUCUAGUUUUGUCAUUAGUGUAAUACUGACUUUAUUUUAUACAUAAAUUCAUAAAUUGCAUAUAUUUAUGGUGUACAGUAUGAUGUUUUGAAAUAUAUUGACUUCAUUAAAAUGAGGUCAAUAUUACUAAUCCCAAAACUAGAAAAGGAUAUCACAAGAAAAGAAAAUUGGGAAAUAUUCCUGUUCUUCUGCUUUUUGGAAGAGCUUGUGAAGAAUUUGUAUUAAUUUUUUGUUACAUGUCUGGUAGAAUUCAUUGGUGAAGAAUUCAUUGCACUUGGGCCUCAGCUUUCCUUCAUGGGAAAGUUUUUGAUUACUGAUGGAAUCUCUACUUGUGAUAGCUCUAUGAAAGUUUCUGUUUCUUCUUGAGUCAGUUUUGGUAGCUUGUGUCUUUCUAGGAAUUUGUCCAUCUUGUCUAAGUUAUCUAAUAUAUUGGUGUACAGUUGUUCAUUGUGUAUUUUGUAAUCUUUUUUUAUUUCUGCAAGGUCGGUAGAAAUGAACCCUCUUUCAUGUUUUAUCUAGUAAUUUCAGUCUUCUAUUCUUCUUGGCUAGUCUAAGAUAAAGGUUUGUCUAUUUGUUGAUCUUUUUAAAGAACCAGCUUUUGGUAUCAUUGAUUUUCUCUAUUACUUUCCUAUUCUUUAUUUUAUUAAUUUUUACUCUGUUCUCUACUAUUUCCUUCCUUCUGUUUGCUUUAGAUUUUGUUUGCUAUUCCCCCCAGGGGUUAAGGGUGGAAUGUUAGGUUAUCAAUUGAAGAUCUUCUGUCUUUUGUUUAGAUAUUUAUUUAUUUAUUGAGACAGGGUCUCACUCUGUCGCCCAGGCUGGAAUGCAGUGGCGCAGUCUUGGCUCAAUACAACCUCAACCUCUUGCACUCAUGUGAUCCUCCCACCCCAGCCUCCUGAGUAGCUGGGACUACAGGCGUGCACCAUCAUGCCUGGCUAAUUUUUGUAUUUUUUUGGUAGAGACAGGGCUUCACCAUGUUGCCCAAACUGGUUUCGAACUCCUGAGCUCAAGCAUCCACCUACCUUGACCUCCCAAAGUGCUGGGAUUACAGGUUGGUGUAAGCCACCGCACCCAGUGUCGGGAUGUUUUUUUUUUUUUUUUUGAGACAGAGUUUCACUCUUGUUGCCCAGGCCGGAGUGUGAUGGCGCGAUCUUGGCUCACCGCAACCUCCGCCUCCCGGGUUCAAGCAAUUCUCCUGCCUCAGCCUCCUGAGUAGCUGGGAUUACAGGCAUGUGCCACCACACCUGGCUAAUUUUUUAUUUUUAGUAGAGACAGGGUUUCUCCAUGUUGGUUGUUGGUCAGGCUAGUCUCAAACUCUGGACCUCAGGUGACCCGCCCGCCUCGGCCUCCCAAAGUGCUGGGAUGACUGCCUGGCCAUGAGAUCUUUUGUCUUUUAAAAAAAUGAUUUAUUGUUUAAAUUGACAAAGAUUGCAUAUAUUUAUGGUGUACAAUAUUACAUUUGAAAUAUAUGUAUGUUGUAGAAUGGCUAAAUGAAGCUAAUUAAUAUGGGUAUUACUUCACAUACAUUUGUCAUUCUUAAUAUAGGCAUUUAUAGUUAUAAAUUUUCCUCUAAGUGCUGCUUUAGCUGCAUCCCAUCAGUUUUGGUAUGUUGUGUCUUUAUUUUCAUUCAUCUCAGAAUAUUUUUUAUUCUUUUGCUUUCUUCUUUGAAUCAUUUGUUAUUUAGAAGUAUGUUACUUAAUUUCCACAUAUUUGUGAGUUUCCCAAACUCUUUCCUGUUAUUGAUUUUUAAGUUCAUUCCAUUUUGGUCAAAUAAUCUAUUCCGUAUGGAUUUUAUUUUUUAAAAUGUAUUAUUUUAUGGCCUAGCAUAUGAUCUAUCCUAGAGAAUGUUCCAUGUGCAUUUGAGGACAAUGUAUAUUGUGUUGUUGGGUGGAGUGUUCCAUAGAUGUCUCUUGAUUCUAGUUAGUUUAUUGUGUUGUUUUCUAUUUCCUAGUUGAUCUGCUAUCUAUGUUGAGAGUGAGUUAUUAAAGUCUUCAACUAUGAUUGUUGAAUUAUCUAUUUCUCCCUUAAUUUCUGUCAGUCUUUGUGUCAUGUAUUUUAGUGCUCUGUUAUUAAGUGCAAAUUGGUGUAUCUUCCUAAUGAGUUAAUUGUUUUAUUAUUACAAAAUGACUCUCAACUAGGUGUGGUGGCUCACACUUGUAAUUCCUACAUUUUGGGAGGCUAAGGUGGGCAGAUUGCUUGAGCUCAGGAAUUUGAAACUAACCUGGGCAACAUGGCAAAACCCCAUAACUACCAAAAAAUAUUCAAUUAUUAGCUGGGCAUGGUGGCAUUUGCCUGUAGUCCUAGUGACUCCAGAGACUGAGGUGGGAGGAUUGCUUGAGCCCAGGAGGCAGCGAUUGCAGUGAGCCAACAUUGUGCCACUGCACUGCAGCAGAGUGAGAGACCGUGUUUCAAAAUAAAAUAAAAUAGGGAGGGAUAGCAUUAGGAGAUAUACCUAAUGCUAAAUGACGAGUUAAUGGGUGCGGCACACCAGCAUGGCACAUGUAUACAUAUGUAACUAACCUGCACAUUGUGCACAUGUACCCUAAAACUUAAAGUAUAAUAAUAAAAAAAUAAAAUAAAAUAAAAAUUCUCAUUUCUAGUAACUUUUUUGUUUUAAAGUCUGUUUUAUCUCACAUUAGUAUAGUCACUCCAGCUUUCUUGUUGUUACUGUUCUCAUGAUAUUAUCUUUUUCCAUUCUUUUACUUUCAAUCUAUUUAUAUCUUUGAAUCUAAGUGAGUUUCCUCUAGACAGCCUAUACUUUGGAUCAUUUUAUUUGUGAAAGAAGCUUUGUUGGAUAUAGGAUUAUUGUUGGAUAUAGGAGUCUUGACUCACAGUUGUUGGUUUUUUUUUCUUUGAGCACUUUGAAUACAUUAUCCCACUGUUUUCUUACCUCUAUGGUUUCUGAGAAGCCAACUAUUAAUCUUAUUGGGGUUCCCUUAUAAAAUAAUGUCAUUUUUAUGUUGCUGCUUUCAUGAUUUUGUCCUUGUCUUCAACUUUUAGCAUUUUUUCUCUGAUGUAUCUGUUGUGGCUCUUUUCAUAUUUAACCUACUUGGAAUUCAUUGAGCUUCAUAUAUAUGUAGAUUUUUGCUUUUCAAUAAACUUGAGAAGUUUUCAGCCAUUAUUUCUUUGAAUAUUUUCUCUGCUCCUUUUUCUCCUUUGGUACUCCCAUUAUGUCUGCAUCAGUGUAAAUGAUGGUGUCCCACAUUUCUCUGGGCUUUCCAUUUUUCUUCUUUUUUCUCUUUGUUCUUUGGCUUACAUAGUCUCUAUGAAUCUACAAGUUUGCUUAUUCUUUCUUCUGACAAUUCAAAUCUACCAUUAAGCCUCUGAGUUUUUAAAAAUUAUAUUUAUUAUAACUUCUAAGUCCAAAAUUUCCAUUUGAUUCUUUUCUAUAAUUUCUUUUUCUUUAUUGAUAUUCUCUAGUUGAUGCAACAUUGUCGUACCUUUCUUUACUUCUCAAUCAUGUUUUCCUUUAGUUCUGUGAAUCUGUGGAUAAUGGCUAAUUUGAAGUCUCUUUUUUUUUUGUUAUAAAUCUGUUCUCACAGGCAGUUUCUGUUGUCUGCUUUUUUUCCUAGUGUAUGGGUCAUGCUGUUUCUUUGCAUGCCUUGUAAUUUUUUGUUGCAAUCUGGACAUAAUAGGUAAUAUAUUGUAGCAACUUUGUGUAUAGGUACUCCCCUCCCUCCAGGACUUAUUGUUAUCUGCUCAUUUAUUUGUUUAGUGACUGGCUGGGUUAUUUUAAUGAAAUGUAUUCCUGCAUCCUCCCUCCAGCGUAAAGCCUCUGUGUUGCUCCUCGGGGAGAUGCAGCAUCCUAUAGUCACCAUGGGGUAACACUGGUUUUGGUAAGGUUCUCUUCCUCUUCUUCCUUGACCACUCCCAGGAAUUAAACUUCACUAAUUCUUGCUGAUUGCUCUAUUGUUUUCAACAGUUAUCUGGUUUAUAAAUAGCUCUACACUGUAAUUCAAUCAAAUUCUGGCUCUUUUGAAGGAAUAGUUUCUGACGUUAGUGUUUGAUAUUUGUUCUAAUCCCCAGAGGGCUCCUCUAAGCUGUUUUAUUCCAUGGUUUUCCUGGAAACUAGGCAGCCUUCAGUUUGUCCUGCAUUCCAAAUCCCAGUUGGACUGUCCUCCCAGUUGACUUCUGUCACAAUCUCCAAUGUUCUUGAGAGCACCCUUAAGGUUGAAUGUCUCCACUAUCUGUUGGAGAUGAAGUCAGCUCCUUUGUGAAAGGAUUAAGAGUUUCCUGUUUUACAGCUUGCUUCUCACAUCAGGCAAAAUCUCUAAGCCAAAGCUCUGGAGUUGCAAGUGGGAAAAAUGGCAAACUUCUCUUUUAGUGAGCUGUAGAAGCUAAGUGCUUGAUAGAGGAUUGAGAGCAGCAGACUGAGGUCCUCUUGUCUUGCCUCUCCUGGUAAGGCAUGGAACCAUCACCUUUCCAGAUUGAGCAAGGGUGCUAAGGGGCCCAGUAUUCUCAAUGUGAUGAGUUCAAGGUAGAGCCUCUGUCCCAAUGGAAGAGGAGAGCCCCUGCCUCUCAACUGCACUAGCCCAGUGCUUAGCUUCAACAAUAGGUAGCUGAGGACAGGAUGAGAAACAGUGAUGUCUUGCUCUUUACAGGAAGGGGGCCCUCCAAGUGGAAGUUGAGGAAGGGGGAUAAGUUGGAGAGGGAGCCUGUGUUCUUGAUUAUAGCAGUCUGGAGUGAAGUCUGUCUUGCUGAGCUGGGAAGGGGGUGGGAGCAAGUGGUCUUGGUUUAUAUACCACAGAUGCUUUCCUUUCUUACAGAAUUUUCAGAUUUCCUUUGAUAUAUGUUUCUUCAUUUGCUGUUGGCCCUUAGGACUGUCUCCAUAGGCUUUAAGUGAUUUUUAAAAAUAUUUUUUAUCAGUUUCAUAUGAGAGCAGGCCAGUGGAGCUCCUCAUACUGUCAAGCCAGAAGUACUAUUCUUUCUUUUUGGAGACACAGUCAUGCUCUGUUGCCCAGGCUGGAGUGCAGUGGCACGAUCUCGGCUCACUGCAACCUCCACCUCCCGGGUUCAAGCAUUUCUCCUGUCUCAGCCUCCCGAGUAGCUGGGAUUACAGGCGUGAGCCACCAUGCCCAGCCAGAAGUACUAUUAUUUCUUAUAACUACAUAUGAAUCUAAAAUUAUCACAAAAGGAAACUUCUUUUAAGAAAAAGAAAAGAAUCAGAACAUAAAUAUACAGCAUGGCAAAACUACAUCUAAAACAAGUAUUAUAGGUCUCAUGGUGGAAAAAUUGGACCCACAAGAAAAGUUGUUAAUUAUCUCUGAUAUUCUGAACCAUUGAUAUCUGCAAAAUGAUUACUAGGUAUGUGCAAUGAAGGCUAUUGAUGUUACCCUGUAUAUCUGCACACUGUGUACAAAUGCUGUUAAAUGAUGUAAUAAAAAAUUAAAAAGGAAAUUAAUGAAUUCAUAUUUAAUAAAUUUUAAAAAUGGAGAAGGUAAGACUUUCUUACAGAAAAAUGCCAGUUGAAAUCAUUGAGAAAACUAGUAUCGGACAAUUACCACUUGCAGCCAUCAUAGUAAAAACUGAUAACAGGCAAAAAUCAUCACAUGAUAUAUUGAAGGGAAAAGUUUCAUGAGGAACAUGAUGUUUGCAUGGCCUGAAAGUAUAUCCUCACAGAUUGCUUACUAGUUGUAAGGGGAAAAAUAGCAACUACAUAGUGGUCAUACUAGAUGACACCUUGACCAGUUGGCUAUAAUUAAUAUCCUCAAUGAGGGGCAGAGAGCCAUCAUGUGUCUCUACAUGUAAUAAUCAAAAACACUUAUAAUGUCACUGAUAGUAUUUUGUCUGGUCUAACCUGCGUCUAAUCAUGAAGAAACAUCUGACAAACCAAAAUUAAGGAACAUAUUAUAAAAUAAGUGGCCUCGGUUCUUCAAAAACAUCAAUAUCAUAAAGACAAUGGCUGAAAAACAAUUCUAAAUUAAAGAAUAAAGGGACAUAACAUCUGAAUGCAUUAUGUGAUCCUAGACUGGAUAUUGAAUUUGGACAAUUGACAAAAUGUGAUAAGGACUGUAGAUUUUUAAAAAAGUAUUUUAUCGUGGCC
rnacentral:lncRNA from 1 species